rnacentral:rRNA from 1 species
UACAGAGGGGGCAAGCGUUGUCCGGAAUUACUGGGCGUACAGCGCACGCAGGUGGCCUGGCAAGUGUGGUGUGAAAGCCCCGCGCUUAACGCGGGGAGGCCAGCACAGACUGCCAAGCUGGAGGGGUGCAGAGGGUAGGGGAAUUGCCGGUGUAGUGGUGAAAUGCGUAGAGAUCGGCAGGAACACCAAGGACGAAGGUACCUACCUGGGCACCACCUGACACUCAUGUGCGACCGCGUGGGGAGCGAACCGG